rnacentral:rRNA from 1 species
GAUGAACGCUGGCGGCGUGCCUAACACAUGCAAGUCGAGCGAACAGACGAGGAGCUUGCUCCCCUGACGUUAGCGGCGGACGGGUGAGUAACACGUGGAUAACCUACUUAUAAGACUGGGAUAACUUCGGGAAACCGGAUCUAAUACUGGAGAAUAUAUUCAACCGCAUGGUUCAAUAGUGAAUGACGGUUUUGCUGUCUCUUAUAGAUGGAUCCGCGUCGCAUUAGCUAGUUGGUAAGGUAACGGCUUACCAAGGCGACGAUGCGUAGCCGACCUGAGAGGAUGAUCGGCCACACUGGAACUGAGACACGGUCCAGACUCCUACGGGAGGCAGCAGUGGGGAAUAUUCCGCAAUGGGCGAAAGCCUGACGGAGCAACGCCGCGUGAGUGAUGAAGGUCUUCGGAUCGUAAAACUCUGUUGUUAGGGAAGAACAAAUGUGUAAGUAACUAUGCCCGUCUUGACGGUACCUAAUGAGAAAGCCACGGCUAACUACGUG